UGCCAAUGAUGUGACUAGACACCUCUUGUCUGAAUUUUAUUGUUGAAAAUAAUUGCAUUUCUGAGGCA